rnacentral:rRNA from 1 species
GAUGAACGCUGGCGGCGUGCCUAAUACAUGCAAGUCGAGCGAACGGACGAGAAGCUUGCUUCUCUGAUGUUAGCGGCGGACGGGUGAGUAACACGUGGAUAACCUACCUAUAAGACUGGGAUAACUUCGGGAAACCGGAGCUAAUACCGGAUGAUAUUUUGAACCGCAUGGUUCAAAAGUGAAAGACGGUCUUGCUGUCACUUAUAGAUUGAUCCGCGCUGCAUUAGCUAGUUGGUAAGGUAACGGCUUACCAAGGCAACGAUGCAUAGCCGACCUGAGAGGGGGAUCGGCCACACUGGAACUGAGACACGGUCCAGACUCCUACGGGAGGCAGCAGUAGGGAAUAUUCCGCAAUGGGCGAAAGCCUGACGGAGCAACGCCGCGUGAGUGAUGAAGGUCUUCGGAUCGUAAAACUCUGUUAUUAGGGAAGAACAUAUGUGUAAGUAACUGUGCACAUCUUGACGGUACCUAAUCAGAAAGCCACGGCUAACUACGUG